rnacentral:rRNA from 1 species
AUGAAUAUUGCCCUUCUCUUCCGUUGGCUCUGGCGCAUCGCCCAGGGUCAAGGUGGCCUCUGGCUCGACAUUAUCCGGAAUAAAUACCUGCGGGGUCAGCCCCUAGCCUUCUGCCAGAAAUCGGGCGGCUCUCAGUUCUGGCAGUCUAUUGUCCAGCUUCUCCCGGUGCUCCGCAUUGGGACCUCCAUCUCGGUGGGAUCCGGCCUCUCGACGCUUUUCUGGUUUGAUCGUUGGGCCGGAGACGCUCCCUUUGCGGCCCGCUUCCCCGCCCUCUUCUCUAUCUCCGUCGACCCCACGAUUUCGGUCAAUAGGGCCCUUCUUGACUUAGGGCGCCUUGCUUUCCGUCGGCCUUUUGGGCCGGCGGAAUCCGCCGCCUGGCGUGAGUUGCUUGAUUGCGUUGCGUUGCAUGAGCCGUUGGUGGAUGGCAGACCGGACCUUGUGCGGUGGCGUCUGGAUCCGUCGGGCUUGUUCUCCACCAAGUCGCUGUACCCGGCCAUUGCCCCAUCCUCCGCUCCCCUCCCCCUAUCGAUGGUGUGGUCCGUCCGCAUUCCCCUGAAGAUCCGCAUAUUCAUGUGGCAGUGGAUUCGCGGCCGGGUCCCGUCUGGAGUGGAGGUCUGCAAGCGCAAUGGCCCGGGCACCGGUAUCUGCCCGCUCUGUGGAGUCCCUGAAGACUCGAACCACAUCUUCUUCUCCCGCGUCUCCGCCCAGUUCCUCUGGAGCUGCUUUCGCGAGGUGGUCGGUGGUAGUUGGUGCCACACCAAUUUCCCGGACUUUUUUGCUGAACUCCAGUUGUCCCCCACGUCCUCUCGCCACAUUAGGUGGCUUGAGGUUGGCGUUCUCGCCUGGACUCUUUGGACCGUUCGCAAUAAGCUUGUGAUUCAGCACGCUCCCCUUCGUCGCGCUACUGACGCUCUCUACAAAUUCUCGGGUUUCUUGCAGCUUUGGCGGCCGCUUAGCCGCCCCCCGGACCGUGACGCCAUCUCCGCCUUCAUCGCCGACAUCCGUUCGAUGGCCGUCCGCCUGUCGCCGCCGCCCCCGCCGCCUCCGCCGGAUCCUGACUAG